ACAAAAACCCUAACUACACCUCUCCAAAAUCAGUCUCUCACUCUUUCAUCCUUACUUCUUCCUUUCUUUUGGAUAAAAAUCCCCACAAAUCCUUUUUUCUUCCUUCUUCUCGGACUCAAGAAACCCAAGCAUGGUUUUGUUCUCAUCUCACACCCUUGCUUCUUUCUUCUUCCUUGCAAAGAAAACUAUCGUCAAUUUGUUUGAAACCCUCACCGAACUCCAUACGAGGUGAAAACUCGAACCAAUGUCCACUGCAUAUUCGAGUUUUUUCUUUAGGGCAUUGACUAAGGCAUAUAAACACUAGAGAAGGCGAUAGACGAAGGCGAGAACAUGGUUUGCCACGAAGGUGCAGAAGAGGGCGGCGUUGGCCUGGGUGCAGAGUCACCAUGAAUCGAAGAGAAACGGCAUGGAAGAGAUGAACCAGAUGAGCAUCUGGCGAGACUCAAACUUGUCACGGGCUUAGUUGCUUGAUAUCAGAGCUCUAGUGGAGAUUAGGCAACUGGGAUCCCUAGAUGAUGUUGGGGGUUUGAGGAAGAAGGCAGUGUUGAUUGUUUAUAAGAGUGAUGAUAAGUCAGGGUUCCUUAAGAAGCUUGCAUUGAAGUUUAAUGGACCAGAGAAUGCCAUAUUGUUUAUUCUGGACAAAUUUGAUGGGAACUCUGAACUGGUUGCAGAGUUGGUUAUCGUUAAUGGAUUUAAAGCUGCUUAUGCAAUUAAGGAUGGUGCAGAAAGACCGAGAGGAUGGAAGAGCAUACGAUAAGGAUGCUAUCGUCGAGUAUAUGCUGAUAUAAACUUUAGUUUGAGAGAUUAUGAGGAGGAUUUGAAGCAGGUAUUGAGCAUGAUGAGAGCUUUGANUAAGGAAGAGUUUGUGCUUGUUCUUCAUCGACAAAUCAGUGGAAUAUCGAGGAGAAAUGCAACUCACAUAAGUACAUUAGCUCUUCACAAAGGUGGUCAAAGGAGAACCAAGUAUAAAGACCAUUUNUUGGCAAGACGUUGAUUUGAUUGGAGUGUACUAUUGUGUUGGGGACAAUGUAAAGUUUGGUUUUCCAUGGCCUUUUCCACCAUUAUGCUUUCUUGGAGUGUUAUUGACUUUGGUGGGAGAGAUGAAAGAAUGCCAAAGAAGCCAUUUGUUGGGGUACAUCUUAUCUUCUUAAAGGUACUGCUCAUCAGGCAUCAUUUAUGUCCAGGUGGAAAUGCUAAGAAUGACCAUGCAUGUUAGGAGAGAUUUAAGGACAUGGACUUCCCCACAGUACUAAGCUUUGUAAUUUGGUUUUGCCUCUUAUCAAAUAUAUAAGAUUUUUAGUUAUUGAACGCAAAUAUAGGUAUUAGUAUUACAGAACUUUAGGUACUCCAGGUUUUAUUUAUUUAUCUUUGGAAAUCUUUUACGUAUAAAUAGUUGUAAAUGUUUCAUCUAUUAGAUGGUUUUUGGUCAUUUGACAAUUA